UCCGUUUGAGUGGCAAGUUGUUUGUUACACUGUAACACCAGCUGCUUUCUGCACUUUGGAGUUUUUGCUGCCUCUGAGCUCCCUUAACUCCUUUUGCCUCUGGUCCUUUGCUUAGCUUCCCCCUCUGCCCGUCUUCUCUUGCUUUAAAUCUCUCUCUAACUUUCACAUCGGCUUCUCCCACCCCCCUGCUCCCUCCCUUUUCCUGGAGUCUUAAAGGGGGAGAAGAAGAAGAAAAUAAUUAAAAAAAAAACCUUCCCUUUUUUUAACAACAUAGAUUAAUAAAAAAAUUAAACCCCAACCUAGAUGAACUACAAAUGAGAAAAAGGAAAAGAUGGAGCUGCACAUUUUAGAGCACAGGCUCAAAGUAGCCAGCAUAGCCAAGGAGAGCGUCCAGUUGUUUACCUAUGGAUUAAUCAAACUUGCUUUCCUUUCCUCCAAGACCAGGUGCAAGUUCUUCAGUCUCACGGAAACGCCAGAGGACUAUACGAUCAUUGUGGACGAAGAGGGGUUUCUAGGUAAGUCGCAGCACCUGCUGCUUUCUACUCUAAGCUGGGGCAGAGGGAUGCGUGUUUGCCGUUUUGUCAUUCUCCUGAUCAGACCAUAAACGGAGAUGUUUGUACAACGGUUCUGUUGGUAAGUACCAGAAACACAGUUAUGAAAGAUGCUUUGAUCAUUUAAGCAGCCUGUCUCCACUGCUUUGCUGUAAAAGACAUUUCACAUAUGGAAUGUGAAUAAUUUGUAGUGCAAGUUGCCAA